rnacentral:rRNA from 1 species
UACGUAGGCAGCAAGCGUUGUUCGGAGUUACUGGGCGUAAAGGGUGUGUAGGCGGUUGUUUAAGUUUGGUGUGAAAUCUCCCGGCUCAACUGGGAGGGUGCGCCGAAUACUGAAUGACUCGAGUGCGGGAGAGGAAAGUGGAAUUCCUGGUGUAGCGGUGAAAUGCGUAGAUAUCAGGAGGAACACCGGCGGUGUAGACGGCUUUCUGGACCGUAACUGACGCUGAGACACGAAAGCGUGGGUAGCAAACAGG